UACAGAGGUCUCAAGCGUUGUUCGGAUUCAUUGGGCGUAAAGGGUGCGUAGGCGGCGCGGUAAGUCGGGGUGUGAAAUCUUGGAGCUUAACUCCGAAACUGCAUUCGAUACUGCCGUGCUUGAGGACUGGAGAGGAGACUGGAAUUCAUGGUGUAGCAGUGAAAUGCGUAGAGAUCAUGAGGAAGACCAGUGGCGAAGGCGGGUCUCUGGACAGUUCCUGACACUGAGGCACGAAGGCCAGGGGAGCAAACGGG
rnacentral:rRNA from 1 species